GGAUGCCAGGGAGAGCUGUCUUCACAGUCACCCUGUGACCAGUAGGACUGAGUCAGCUGAUCUGGCUAGGUGGGUGUCUCUCCUUCCCUUGUUACUGCAAGUGUACCCACCCUGAUAUUGUGGGCCUGGAAGAAGACAGCUUUCUUGACUAGGACUGGUUGGCUCUUCACUUAAUGCUGUACAAGCAGCUGCACUCCCUGUUGGUGCCUCCAAACAGCCUGAGGAGUCUUAGAGAAGGCCAUCUUAACUCACAAGCCUUACAGAAGGACAGGUUAUUUGGAGGUUACCAUUUGAGCCUCAUUC
ensembl:misc_RNA 7SK 7SK RNA